rnacentral:tRNA from 1 species
CGGGAUGUAGUACAGUGGUAGUAUGCGCCCAUGGGGUGGGCGUGAACCGGGUUCGAUUCCCGGCAUCCCGA